GUCUACAUCAAGUCAUCAUUAUCGUCUACAACAGGUCACCCGAGGGUUAUCGUCUACAACAAGUCACCCGAGGGUUAUCGUCUACAACAGGUUAUCCGAGGGUUAUCGUCUACAACAGGUCACCCGAGGGUUAUCGUCUACAACAGGUCACCCGAGGGUUAUCGUCUACAACAGGUCACCCGAGGGUUAUCGUCUACAACAGGUUAUCCGAGGGUUAUCGUCUACAACAGGUCACCCGAGGGUUAUCGUCUACAACAGGUCAUCCGAAGGUUAAUUACCUAGAAGCUAGCAAGCCAGCGAGGCAAAGUAAAAUAUCACAAAUAGAGCUAGAUAAAGCCAGAAGAUUAC
rnacentral:lncRNA from 1 species